rnacentral:rRNA from 1 species
CUUUGACCACUCUGGAGACAGAGCUUUCCCUGCGGGGACAAAGUGACAGGUGGUGCAUGGUUGUCGUCAGCUCGUGUCGUGAGAUGUUGGGUUAAGUCCCGCAACGAGCGCAACCCUUGAUUUUAGUGGCCAGCAUUUAGUUGGGCACUCUAAAGUGACUGCCGGUGCAAGCCGGAGGAAGGUGGGGAUGACGUCAAAUCAUCAUGCCCCUUAUGACCUGGGCUACACACGUGCUACAAUGGAUAGUACAAAGGG